AACCGCCGGAUACGUGGUGACCCGUUCGUCCGGUGGUGUGGGAGGGAGGGGCCGUGAGGCUUCUUCCUAUCCCGAU
rnacentral:ncRNA from 1 species